rnacentral:rRNA from 1 species
AGAAUUUAGCAGAGAUGCUUUAGUGCCUUCGGGAACUCUGAGACAGGUGCUGCAUGGCUGUCGUCAGCUCGUGUUGUGAAAUGUUGGGUUAAGUCCCGCAACGAGCGCAACCCCUAUCCUUUGUUGCCAGCGAUUCGGUCGGGAACUCAAAGGAGACUGCCGGUGAUAAACCGGAGGAAGGUGGGGAUGAUGUCAAGUCAUCAUGGCCCUUACGAGUAGGGCUACACACGUGCUACAAUGGCGCAUACAAAGAGAAGCGACCUCGCGAGAGCAAGCGGACCUCAUAAAGUGCGUCGUAGUCCGGAUUGGAGUCUGCAACUCGACUCCAUGAAGUCGGAAUCGCUAGUAAUCGUAGAUCAGAAUGCUACGGUGAAUACGUUCCCGGGCCUUGUACACACCGCCCGUCACACCAUGGGAGUGGGUUGCAAAAGAAGUAGAUAGCUUAACCUUCGGGAGGGCGUUUACCACUUUGUGAUUCAUGACUGGGGUGAAGUCGUAACAAGGUAAGCGUAGCGAG